rnacentral:rRNA from 1 species
CGCGCAGGCGGUCGUACAAGUCGCGUGUGAAAGCCCCCGGCUCAACUGGGGAGGGUCACGCGAUACUGUUCGACUCGAAGGCAGGAGAGGGAAGUGGAAUUCCCGGUGUAGUGGUGAAAUGCGUAGAUAUCGGGAGGAACACCAGUGGCGAAGGCGACUUCCUGGCCUGUUCUUGACGCUGAGGCGCGAAAGCUAGGUAGCAAACG